rnacentral:lncRNA from 1 species
AUAAACAACAGAUCUGCCCGUGCUUUGCAGAUUUCAGGGCAUUUAUCCAUGCAUUGUCUCAAUGGAUACAACUUAGAAAUAGGCCAGUUGUGACUUUAGAGAUUAAAGAAAUUAAGGUUCUGUGAGGCAAGGUUAGCAAGUGGUUUCGUUGAAUCUUGCAGGCAGGUCUUUGGACUCCAAAUCACAUAGUGUGGUUUCUCUACCACAUAAUGACAGCAACCAGGUAACUCCUGCCACACACACACAGUGGCAGCCCUGUAGAGCAAGUUCAUCUCUGAGCCUCACCUUCCUCAUUUGUAAAUUUGGAAGCAUAAUAAUGAUAAUGCCUUCCUUCUAGUGUUGUGUGAGGAUUCGAAAUCCUGAAUAUGGCCGGGCACAGUGGUUCACACCUGUAAUCCUAACACUUUGGGAGGCUGAGCCAGAUGGAUCACCUGAGGCCAGGAGUUCGAGACCAGCUUAGCCAACAUGGCGAAACCCCGUCUCUACUAAAAAUACAAAAAAUUAGCCAGGCAUGGUGGCGGGCACUUGUAAUCCUAACUACUUGGGAGGCUAAGGUGGAAGAAUUGCUUGAACCCGGGCGGUGGAGGUUGCAGUGAGCUGAGAUUGUGCCACUGCGCUCCAGCCUGAGCAAUAGAGCAAGACUGUCUUGAAAAAGUGAAAAAAGAAAAGAAAUCCUGAAUAUGCAAAGUUCUUAGCGUCUGGCACUGAACUGGCACUCAACAAAUGAUCAUUUAAAAACUUCACAUCGUUUGACAAAUUCUAAAGAAGUGGUACAGGAGAAUGAAGCCUAAAAACACUGAGCAAAUGGCCAGGGUGGUUUUGGCCUAUAAGGAGUGUUCUAUAGAAAUGAGGCUUCUGCCUGUCCUGAAACACAGGCAGUUCUUGGCUGAAGACAGCAGUGCAGACUUGAGCUUGGAGUAGGUGGGAGGAGGUAAGGCUUCUAGAAAGUCGGUUCUCAAACACCAGUGAGCAAUACAAGUAGCCCUGGGGCCUUGUACACUUCCAGAUUUGGAUGAAAAUUGUUUUUAAAGCUUCACAAUACUCUUAUUCCAAUACAUUCUAAUAUUUUCUGUUGUAUUCUAUUUCAUUAGAAUAAAUAAAUAAGAGAUC